GAUGAAGAACGUAGCGAAAUGCGAUACUUGGUGUGAAUUGCAGAAUCCCGUGAACCAUCGAGUCUUUGAACGCAAGUUGCGCCCGAAGCCAUUAGGCCGAGGGCACGCCUGCCUGGGCGUCACACGUCGUUGCCCCCCCAUCUACUCCUUCGGGAUUGCGGGGGGCGGAUGAUGGCCUCCCGUGCGCCUCGUCGUGCGGUUGGCAUAAAUGCCAAGUCCUCGGCGACGCACGCCACGACAAUCGGUGGUUGCGAAACCUCGGUUGCCCGUCGUGUGCGGUCGUCGCGCAUCGAGGGCUCGAAAAAAUUGCCGGGCUUUGUUUCGGCUUUCAACGCGACCCCAGGUCAGGCGGGGUUACCCGCUGAAUUUAAGCAUAUCAAUAAGCGGAGGA
rnacentral:misc_RNA from 1 species